UUUAUCAAAAACAUGGCUCCUUGUAAUUCUGUAGAUGGGGAGUCGGACCUGCCCGGUGAAAUUAUUUAACGGCCGCGGUACCCUGACCGUGCGAAGGUAGCAUAAUCAUUUGCCUUAUAAUUGAAGGCUUGUAUGAAUGGUUUGACUUGAACAAAGCUGUCUCUUUAUAAUUUUAUAGAAUUUUAUUUUUAGGUGAAGAAGCCUAGAUAAAAUUAAUAGACAAGAAGACCCUAUCGAGCUUUAAAUGAGUUAAUAGAAUUAUAUUAUUAAUAUAUAUAAAAAAUUGACUAUUAAAAAUUUUGGUUGGGGCGACUGAGGAACAAAUAAAGCUUCCUAUAUUUAAUAAAUGUUCGCAUAUUGAUCCAAGCUUUUUGAUUAAAGAAAUUAGUUACCGUAGGGAUAACAGCAUUAUUCUCUUUGAGAGUUCUUAUCGAAAAGGGGGUUUGUGACCUCGAUGUUGGACCAGAAUAUCCUAAAGAUGCAGAAGUCUUUGAGGGUUGGUCUGUUCGACCAUUAAAAUUCUACGUGAUCUGAGUUCAGACCGGCGUGAGCCAGGUCAGUUUCUAUCUUUAAUUCUUUUAUGCAAACUUAGUACGAAAGGACCAGUUUGUAGUAUUAAAUAUUAUAAAUGAAGAAAUAUAAUUAAUACUUGUCAGAUUAGCAAAUUUAAUGUAAUUGAUUUAGGUUCAAUAGAUAUAGGUGAAAGUCCUUUAUUUGACAGGAUAAAGAUGGCAGACUUAGUGCAUUAGGUUU
rnacentral:rRNA from 1 species